rnacentral:rRNA from 1 species
UAGGGAAUCUUCCACAAUGGACGCAAGUCUGAUGGAGCAACGCCGCGUGAGUGAAGAAGGGUUUCGGCUCGUAAAGCUCUGUUGUUAAAGAAGAACGUGGGUAAGAGUAACUGUUUACCCAGUGACGGUAUUUAACCAGAAAGCCACGGCUAACUCUGUGCCAG